AAAGAGUCAUCUUUGUAAUUUCUUAAUAAAAGUUGUUUUUCCAAGGGUUUAUCUCUUCCUUUUUUUCCUGGCUUUUUCAACAUAAACAAGAAUGAAAAUUUAAGCCCUAUCUAAUAAUUAUUUUAACUAAGAAUUCAAAUGUUAAAUAAGAAAAGUGAAAACAAGCCUACCAAAAUGUAUAGGCUUUUAGGACCUAAACUUAGUUUAGCCUAAAUGUUGCUACCAACCUCUUUCUUUUUCUACUUGAAGUCUCCAUCAAAACAUAAACUACAAAUAGAAUUUCCUGAACGUUUCAACAGUAAAAUAAUCGACCUGAGUGAAGCUGAGUUGCAAAACCUUAGGGCAAGCAUUCAGAAACUGCAGCUUCAGAAUUGGCAUCUUGCUCAAUCAAACAGUCGCUUUUUAGCAGAAAUCAAUUUGGGG
rnacentral:misc_RNA from 1 species